ensembl:lncRNA
AGCCCAGGUGCCGAUCUUUAAAAACAAAAAAAAAAGGAAGAUUGGCAACAGUUGUUAGCCCAGGUGCCAAUCUUUAAAAAGAAAAUGCAGCAAAUAAAUUUCACAUAAGGUACUAGCUUGUGAAAUUUACCUAUUUUUUCAUUCCUGUCAACAUAAAACCAAAACAUUGCUUUUGUUAAGAAACUCAUUUACCAUUGAGAAAGUGCUUUUUUCUGAACUCAUAAGAAAGGGUCCUCCAACAGAUUUUAUUAUUGCCAUGAAGAAUCUGGAAAUAGCAUAAGCCAAAAUAUGUUGAAACAUCUGUACUACUUUCCAACAGUUGUAGGGUAAACUUCUCACAAUGAAUUAUUUGUUUUAACAUUUCUUCAAUUCUUUAACAACAAGUUCUAUGCAUCUUCCAAAAAUGUUUAAUGACCAAGGAGUCUAUUUUAAUGUGUCACUAUAUAGUUUUCAGAUAUUUCUUCAGCUAUUUUCACUAUAGCAUGUAGAGCAAGUGUUUGACCAAUGGGCUAUGGACUUUCACUUUCAAAAUUAAGUAGUAAAUUCAAAAUUAUCAAAAAUUUAAUCAAAUUUUGUAAAGGGCUGGAUUGAGUAUAUUAUGACUUUAAGUAGCUGAAAGAAGUUUCUAAACAUUUUGUUCAUUGCAAUGGCUGCACACUCUCAUUAGCUACGUCAAGAUCCAAUAUUCACUCAAGGAGAGAGUCAUCAUUAAUGAUAGUGGAUGAAAGACCAUGCUUCAAAUAGUCUUCUUAAUUUUUCCAGUCUUUUGGCCAAUGUUGUGAUUGAUGUAAUUAGCCCGCCAUUCUUUUUAUCCUGUAAUUAGCUGAAAAGAGGCAGCACUAGGAGUUGCAGAAAUAGCACAUCAGCAUUCUGCUGGUCCCCUGGGCUUGUGUCAUUAAUAUUAUCUCCAGUUUGCAGUUUCUUCUCAGUAAUCAUUUAAAUCACUUGUCUAUUUUGUGAGGAUUAGUUAAAUUAAAACGAGAUAUCAUAGGCUGCAGAUCCAAUUAACAGGGCACAUAAACACAAAUAGGCUAAACGCUUGUAGGAGGCAUACAAAUUUCCAUUUCUGGAAGAUUCUCCUUGCACUGAAGGGUUCUUUUGAAUAAGGAAUUCUCCCCUGUGCUUCGCCAUGGGAGUGUCCAACGUCAGAGCUCUAAGAGCUUCUAGAAAGCAUCUUGUCAGCCUCCACAUUUGACAGGUGGACCCUAAAUCCAAUGACACUGUCCUUGUAAGACACAAAUAAGAAGACACAGAACGCAGAGGAGAAGGCCAGGUGAAGAGGGAGGCAGAGAUCAGCAUGACGCUGUUCACAAACCAAGGAAUGCCGAGGAUUGCAGAAGCCACCAGAAGCUCAGGAAGAGGCAAGGAAGGGUUCUCCCCUAGAGCCUUUGGAGUAAGUACUGUUUGUUUUCACCUAAUCCAGUGAUUUCCAAACUCAAGCUCUGCAGAGCCCCCCAUGGCCCCCACGAUACAAGAAGUAUGGUACCUACUUUGUACAAGUUACUUCUAAGACUUCUUGCAAUGAAACUAUUCUGCAGCUUAAAAAAACUAAAUGAAAAAUCGAAUCAACCAACCC